CGCCGACAUCGCGUUGAAACACCGCUUCCCGGAAGAUCACCGAAGUUAAGCCACAUCGAGCCUAUUCAGUACCUAGAUGGGGAACUGCUUGAGAAUACCAGGUACUGUAAG
rnacentral:rRNA from 1 species